rfam:Sus scrofa chromosome X.
UCCCUGGUGGUCUAGUGGUUAGGAUUUGGUGCUUCCACCACUGCAGCCUAGGUUCAAUUCCUGGUGUGGAAA